rnacentral:tRNA from 1 species
GGAGAGGUGGCCGAGCGGCUGAAGGCGGCGGUUUGCUAAACCGUUAUAGGGUUAAGAGCCCUAUCGGGGGUUCGAAUCCCCCCCUCUCCG